CCAGUACAAAGGCAACCUAUUUUGAAAAGAAUUGGACGCAAAGUAAUCAGAUCUAAGGAAGUAAUCAGGUGGAAACUUCUAGGAUGGCUGUACUACCUGG
rnacentral:ncRNA from 1 species